CGUGAGCGCGCGCCGCGCCGGUUUCUAAGUUUAGCUCGGCGGUUUCGGUGGGGUCGGGCGAGGAAGCUGAGGGGGUGCUCUGUCAAAAUGAGGGAAGAAACCAAGAGGAAGGCGUGAGAUGCUGGAACCAGGGAUUCCAACUAGUGUCGCAAAGGAAUAAAGUGUUCCAAAACCCAGACACGAGCUCUCCACAGGGGAGUAGAUGCACUGUAGUUAUUUUAAGGAGAAAGAGUGUCCAUCAUCUCGUGCCUGGGAGACCUACUGUUGCCAUUUCCUCAGCGACUGUAGCUGUUGGAAUAGUCGUGUCUGCAGUCCUCAGGGCAGUGUGGUGCACAUGAGGAGAGACCAGAAGUUGUUAUCCGGAGAAGCUGAACUGAAGGUGCUCUGGACUCCAGGACACUGGUCCCCGCGGAAAGUGACAGGGAGGCAGGGCUUGCUGGGGCAGGACUGCCCGCCUCCCUACUCCACUCCUCCCUGUGACCCAGCAGCAUUAGACCAUCUGCAGAUGCUUCUAAACCAGGGAGGUCAAUCAGGAGCCUGAGUCCCACGUGCAUCCCAGACUAGACCCGGAAAGGGCUUUCGCAUUGUGAUGUGGGCACACCUCCAUUCUGCACCUUAUAAGCACAGGUAUCCGUGUGGGAGGGGAUUCUGGACAGCCCCCCUUUUACAGAUGAAGAACUGAAGCCAGGAUAGGAGUCAGCCACACCUCCCCGGCUGAUUCUUCUCUGUUCUCUUUCUGUUUCCUUCUCACCUUCUUCCUGAUCUCUAAAUGUUGGCGUGCCCCAGAGCUCAGCACACAGACCCUCCCACACUAUCGCAGGAACCUCACCCAGGCCUGUGGCUUUUAUGCACCACUCACAUGCACCUGUGGGCCGCUUUCAGCCGUGGAUCGUAGCCCAGAUUCUCUGCCAGACUCCAGGCUCAUACAUCCAACUGCCCACUCAGGGUCCCCUCUGGGAUGCCUCAUGGGUGUCUCUCUUUGCGUGGGUCCAAACUGAGUUCCUGACCUUUCGUUCUCCCAGUGCAUUUGAGUUCGUGGCAAUUCCAUCAUUGCUCAAGCCGAUAACCUUCGAGUCACUCUUGGCUUCUGUUUCUCACAGACUCAUGCCCAAACCAUCAGCAGAUCUGCUCCUUCCCAUCUCCACCUCACCACCCUGCUUUGAGCCACCAUCAGCCCUGGUUUGGUUUGUAGUGGUCUUCUCGUUGGUCUCCCUGCUUCCACUCUUGGGCCCUGUGGUCUGUUAUAAACUAACUCAGCAGCCAGGCUAUCCUGGGAAGAUAAAAGUCAGCUGAGGUCCCUGCUCAGCAAAAACCCCUCCAAUGGCACCCCAUCCCAGACAUAGUACUGGCCCAUGUUACCCUUCCACCUGAGGUCCUGGCCCGCAUUCCCUCCCUGCUCCCUCCAUGCCAGCCACAGUGGCCCCCCAGUACACCAGGUGUAGAUGCACUCACACCUUGAGGCCUUGGUAUUUGCAUCUCCUCUGCUUGGCAGACUCCACCCCCCCACCCCCCCACCCCCGCUCCCAGGUAUCUGCAUGCCUGCUCCCCCUCCUCCUGGGCACACCUUCACUCCUCCUCCUUAUGCAAACCCCAUCUUGCCAGUGAGGUCUUCCCUAACCUCCUCAAUUUAAAUUGCACCCCCCUCCAUUUUCUGUCCCCCCUUUCUACUUUAUUUUCCUCCAUGACACUUACCACCAAACAGGCUAUAUAGUUUGUUUAUUUUAUUUUUCUCCUCUGACUGGAAUAUAGUAAGUUCCCCGAGGGCAGAGAUUUUUAUCAGAUGCACAGUAAGGGCUCCGUAAAUAUUCGGUCAACGUAGAAAGAACAGGAAUCAGAGGUUCUGGUGUGUGUGUGUCACCUUUUCCCAUGAAUGCCAUUGCACUUAGCCAGUGAAUGAAAGAGGAAGAGAACACCUUAGAUCAAGUUCAAUGCCUCCUUGAUGAGGGACUCUGAUCAACUUUGAGGGGCACUGAGGCCUAGUGAGGGGAAGGAUAUCCCAGAUAAUCACAGAACACGACUUCAGAGCUGGGACUGGAUCCCUCACACCCAUCUCCCCGAGUGUAUGCUCUGGUCUCCCUGCCACCCACGGCUAGAUAGAGGCCACUCCAUGCUGACAGCAAGCUCCAGUCUCAUAAGCCACAAAUAAGAACAAGGAACAAAGAAAACAAAGAAGUGAGGUGU